AAUAGAUACCCGGGUAGUCCACCCCGUAAACGUUGGGAACUAGUUGUGGGGUCCUUUCCACGGAUUCCGUGACGCAGCUAACGCAUUAAGUUCCCCGCCUGGGGAGUACGGCCGCAAGGCUAAAACUCAAAGGAAUUGACGGGGACCCGCACAAGCGGCGGAGCAUGCGGAUUAAUUCGAUGCAACGCGAAGAACCUUACCAAGGCUUGACAUACACCAGAACACCCUGGAAACAGGGGACUCUUUGGACACUGGUGAACAGGUGGUGCAUGGUUGUCGUCAGCUCGUGUCGUGAGAUGUUGGGUUAAGUCCCGCAACGAGCGCAACCCUCGUUCUAUGUUGCCAGCACGUAAUGGUGGGAACUCAUGGGAUACUGCCGGGGUCAACUCGGAGGAAGGUGGGGAUGACGUCAAAUCAUCAUGCCCCUUAUGUCUUGGGCUUCACGCAUGCUACAAUGGCCGGUACAAUGGGCUGCGAUACCGUAAGGUGGAGCGAAUCCCAAAAAGCCGGUCCCAGUUCGGAUUGAGGUCUGCAACUCGACCUCA
rnacentral:rRNA from 1 species